GAUGAACGCUGACAGAAUGCUUAACACAUGCAAGUCUUUGGCGAAGCUGUGCUUGCACAGCCUAGCCAAGGCGGACGGGUGAGUAACGCGUAAGGAACUUGCCCUGCAGUCAGGGAUAACAGACGGAAACGACUGAUAAGACCUGGUAAAGUCAGGCGGACUCAUGUCCAGCCUGAUGAAAAGAGAUGCUGCAGGAGAGCCUUGCGUCCUAUUAGCUUGUUGGUGGGGUAACGGCCCACCAAGGCGAUGAUAGGUAGCCGGCCUGAGAGGGUGGACGGCCACAAGGGGACUGAGAUACGGCCCUGACUCCUACGGGAGGCAGCAGUGGGGAAUAGUGGACAAUGGGGGCAACCCUGAUCCAGCAAUUCUGUGUGCACGAUGAAGGUUUUCGGAUUGUAAAGUGCUUUCAGCAGGGAAGAAAAAAAUGACGGUACCUGCAGAAGAAGCGACGGCUAAAUACGUG
rnacentral:rRNA from 1 species